rnacentral:rRNA from 1 species
GCCCUACGGGGCGCAGCAGUGGGGAAUAUUGGGCAAUGGGCGCAAGCCUGACCCAGCAACGCCGCGUGAAGGAAGAAGGCUUUCGGGUUGUAAACUUCUUUUAAGAGGGAAGAGAAGAAGACGGUACCUCUUGAAUAAGCCACGGCUAACUACGUGCCAGCAGCCGCGGUAAUACGUAGGUGGCAAGCGUUAUCCGGAUUUACUGGGUGUAAAGGGCGUGUAGGCGGGACUGCAAGUCAGAUGUGAAAACCAUGGGCUCAACCCAUGGCCUGCAUUUGAAACUGUAGUUCUUGAGUGUUGGCGAG